rnacentral:rRNA from 1 species
GCGGCAUGCCUUACACAUGCAAGUCGAACGCGAAAGCGGGGCAACCCGCAAGUAGAGUGGCGAACGGGUGAGUAAUACAUCGGAACAUAUCCAGUAGCGGGGGAUAACCUAUCGAAAGAUGGACUAAUACCGCAUACGAUCUACGGAUGAAAGCAGGGGACCGCAAGGCCUUGCACUAUUGGAGUGGCCGAUGUCGGAUUAGCUAGUUGGUGAGGUAAAGGCUUACCAAGGCGACGAUCCGUAGCUGGUCUGAGAGGACGAUCAGCCACACUGGAACUGAGACACGGUCCAGACUCCUACGGGAGGCAGCAGUGGGGAAUUUUGGACAAUGGGCGCAAGCCUGAUCCAGCCAUGCCGCGUGAGUGAAGAAGGCCUUCGGGUUGUAAAGCUCUUUCGGUGAAGACGAAACGGUUAGUGCUAAUAACACUGACUAAUGACGGUACUCACAGAAGAAGCACCGGCUAACUACGUGCCAGCAGCCGCGGUAAUACGUAGGGUGCAGGCGUUAAUCGGAAUUACUGGGCGUAAAGCGUGCGCAGGCGGUUUGCUAAGACAGGUGUGAAAUCCCCGAGCUUAACUUGGGAAUUGCGCUUGUAACUGGCAAGCUAGAGUGUGGCAGAGGGGGGUGGAAUUCCACGUGUAGCAGUGAAAUGCGUAGAUAUGUGGAGGAACACCGAUGGCGAAGCAGCCCCUGGGUUAACACUGACGCUCAUGCACGAAAGCGUGGGGAGCAACAGGAUUAGAUACCUGGUAGUCCACGCCCUAAACUAUGUCAACUAGUUGUCGGGAAGAAAUUCUUGGUAACGAAGCUAACGCGUGAAGUUGACCGCCUGGGGAGUACGGCCGCAAGGUUAAAACUCAAAGGAAUUGACGGGGACCCGCACAAGCGGUGGAUUAUGUGGAUUAAUUCGAUGCAACGCGAAAAACCUUACCUACCCUUGACAUGCUAGGAAGCCCGCAGAGAUGUGGGCGUGCCCGAAAGGGAACCUAGACACAGGUGCUGCAUGGCUGUCGUCAGCUCGUGUCGUGAGAUGUUGGGUUAAGUCCCGCAACGAGCGCAACCCUUGCCAUUAGUUGCUACAUUCAGUUGGGCACUCUAAUGGGACCGCCGGUGACAAACCGGAGGAAGGUGGGGAUGACGUCAAGUCCUCAUGGCCCUUAUGGGUAGGGCUUCACACGUAAUACAAUGGUCGGUACAGAGGGCUGCCAACCCGCAAGGGGGAGCUAAUCCCAGAAAGCCGAUCGUAGUCCGGAUUGUAGUCUGCAACUCGACUGCAUGAAGCCGGAAUCGCUAGUAAUCGCGGAUCAGCAUGUCGCGGUGAAUACGUUCCCGGGUCCUGUACACACCGCCCGUCACACCAUGGGAGUGGGUUCCACCAGAAGUAGUUAGCCUAACCGCAAGGAGGGCGAUUACCACGGUGAGAUUCAUGACUGGGGUGAAGUCGUCGU